ensembl:lincRNA
UAAGAUUGUGCCUGCACAGGAUAUUUCAUAAGUGAUAGAUGCCUGCUUUACAGAUACAGAAACUGAGGUUCGAUGAGAUCACAUCCUUUGCCGAUAACCCACAGCUCUGGAGCUGAGACUGGUCGCUGGGCAGUGGUGUGCCGGCAAAUGUCUUAAACCUGGCUCUCCAGGGGAGGGGCAGGGCCCGGUUGCAUUUGCUGAAGUCCAUGGUGUAAAUACUUCCACCGUGUCUGAUUUCAAGUCACCAAGAUGACCUCACUGAAUGCGAGGUUCGGAAGGAUGCGUCCCUAGGCUCUGGAAGGAAGCCAGUGUCAGCCAAAUCAGGACCCACUGCCCGGCUACUUCGUAUUCCUUGAUUUUCUUCACUCCGCACUUUGAGUGAAAUAAGUCCUUCUUCGCUUUCCCCUCUAAAUCCCAACUACUUCACUCCACACUGAAUACAUCAGGUGAAAUAACUCCUUCACUUUCCCCCUUCAAAUCCUAUCUCAUACUGAAGAAAACAAUCCGAGCCAAGUCUCUGCACGCCUCUGGGCCUCAGUUUCCCCGUCCAUAGGACGGGAUGACUUCUAAACCCCGGCUCUCCCGCAUCAUCCUUGCCUGAAGUCUGGGAGCGCCGGUCUUGCGCAGUGCCCCUAUCGACCACCAGGGGACAGUCUUUCCCCACCAAAGACGCUGGCCUCUCCAAGUCCCCGUCGGUGUCCUUGGACACAGCCUGGGUAUUGCGGGCCCUGCCUGGCUUAUGAAUCAGCGAUUGUGCCCAGCCCCGAGCGGGCAUUUGCAGAAAGGGCCCAUUGUUUGCAGUGAGGCCUUUUGUUCCAGCAGUGGCCUGGGGAAACUGGGAUUGGGCUGGGGGCCUGAUUGGUUCCCAGGGGCCCCUGGUGGGUGUUGGGGUGUGGACCCAGGCGGACCCCUCUCCGCUCUCCCCGCUGCCCGCCCCAAUCCCAUCUACCAGGCUGCUGUGCUGGGCACUGCUCACCUAUGCCUCAGCUCUGUCCGGGGUUCUCGCCCCUGCAGACCUCCUCUGCCACCCUCUGAGGCCCGGAGCACGUGUUCCCUCCUCCAGGCCAGGGUUCCUGUUACUUCCUUCAGCUUCAUUCAAUCCAACUGCACUUUAAGAGGGGUCACCCAGGGUUCCACGGCCUCCCUGAUCACGAAAGGGGAAUCGCUGCAGCUCCUGGCAGUGGGCAUGGUCUGCUCUGAGGCUCCAGGGCUUCCAACACCUGAAAAUCGGGAUGGCCUUCAACUCAGAAUCACAGGCUAUUCCAGCAUGAUGGAACCCUUGGCCUCAACAUCAUGGGAUGGUUGAAGACACGAAAGUCCUGUUUUGCCCCUUCCAGUUCCUUGGUCACCCCCUAAAACCAUACGGUGGAGAAAUAAAGGAGACAAGGAUGUACAACGUUCCCUUUUCCUCUCAU